GCGCGCGGAGCAGAACCGGUCCGCGCUUUGAAGUACCGCCGUCUCGUGGGUACGUCUGUGGAGAGAGACUUCAGCCUCCGUGAGGGAGCAGCCAUGGCGUCUGCCAGUGACAUCGGGGAGAAGCUCCGCAAGAAGCGGCGAGCGUUCCAGGAAUCUCUAGGGAAGCGCCAUGAGGCGGACCAGCAGGACCUGACGGCGGCGGAGGAGGACCCCGGGGAGACCCUGAGGAGGCAGAUGAAGGCCCAGAGACAGAGGCGCAAGAAGAAGCUCCAGGAGGUGGGCUCCGUCUCCGGAUCAGGAGAACGGGUGGAGGAGAGGAGCCAGCCCCGCCCCCACGAGGAGCAGCAGCAGGAGGUGGAGGAGGUGGAGGAGCCGGAGGAGGUGGGGUGUCCAGGAGGAGAGGCCUGGCGCCGCUGGUGGUCUCCAGACCUCCCCCCGGACCCCAGACCGCUGUGUCUCCGCCUCCCAGCUCCAGCCAAUCAGAGCGUGUCGUAGACACGCCCAGCUCCAGCCGCUCGGACCAGUCCAUGAGGCAGCGAAUGAGAGAGAAGCUCAGAGCCGCCAGGAGUAAAGCAGAGAGCUUCCUGCAGCAGGAGGCCUCCAUGGAGCCUGGGAGUCGCCUACAGAG
ensembl:lncRNA